CCUACGGGUGGCAGCAGUGAGGAAUAUUGGUCAAUGGGCGAGAGCCUGAACCAGCCAAGUCGCGUGAGGGAGUACUGCCCUAUGGGUUGUAAACCUCUUUUGUAGGGGAGCAAAAGCCGGAAGGGUCCGGCUGUGAGAGUUCCCGAAGAAAAAGCAUCGGUGAACUCCGUGCCAGUAGCCGCGGUAAUCGGGAGGAUGCGAGCGUUAUCCGGGUUUAUGGGGUUUAAAGGGUGCGUAGGCGGAAGUUUAAGUCAGCGGUAAAAUGUUGGUGCUCAACACCGGCUUGCCGUUGAAACUGGUCUACUUGAGUGAGCGAGAGGUAUGCGGAAUGCGUGGUGUAGCGGUGAAAUGCAUAGAUAUCACGCAGAACUCCGAUUGCGAAGGCAGCAUACCGGCGCUCAACUGACGCUGAGGCACGAAAGCGUGGGGAUCGAACAGGAUUAGAUACCCCUGUAGUC
rnacentral:rRNA from 1 species